rnacentral:rRNA from 1 species
UACGUAGGGUGCAAGCGUUAUCCGGAAUUAUUGGGCGUAAAGAGCUCGUAGGCGGUUUGUCGCGUCGGGAGUGAAAGCCCACUGCUUAACGGUGGGUCUGCUUCCGGUACGGGCGGGCUGGAGUAUGGCAGGGGAGACUGGAAUUCCUGGUGUAGCGGUGGAAUGCGCAGAUAUCUGGAGGAACACCGGUGGCGAAGGCGGCAUCCUGGACCGGCAUUGACGCUGAGGCGCGAAAGCCAGGGGAGCAAAGCGGG